rnacentral:rRNA from 1 species
UACGUAGGGGGCAAGCGUUGUCCGGAAUCAUUGGGCGUAAAGAGCGCGUAGGCGGCCCGAUAAGUCCGCUGUGAAAGUCAAGGGCUCAACCCUCGGAUGCCGGUGGAUACUGUCGGGCUUGAGUACGGAAGAGGCGAGUGGAAUUCCUGGUGUAGCGGUGAAAUGCGCAGAUAUCAGGAGGAACACCAAUGCGAAGGCGCUCGCUGGGACGUUACUGACGCUGAGACGCGAAAGCGUGGGGAGCAAACAGG